AGACAAUUCUCUCUUCGUCUUUUUCGUCAUCUUCGUCGCCUUCAAUUCUGGUGAGUAUGGUUAAAACUCAAGUGUUUUGAGAAAGAAGAUGUCUAAAGAUAGUUGGACGGAUGAUGAAACUCGAUUAUUCUUUCAACUUUAUGCGGAUGAGAGAAAAAAAGGAAAUAGAACAAGUGUAGGAAUGAAUCAAACUGGAAAAGAUACCAUCAUGAAGAAGUUUGAAGAGAAAUGAGGGGAUUUAACAAAUGGAUCCCUCAUUUUAAGAAUAAGUAUGAUUCGUGUAAGAAAAAGUACGCCACCUUUAGAACGUUAACUCAUAAUAGGCCUGAGGCUCGGUAUGAUGAUAUGGGAAGGUUGGAGAUGUCAGAUGAUUGGUGGAAGCAACGGAUAGAGGACAGUACUCCCAGAAAGUCAAAACCAAGAGAGAGGCAUGAUGACAUCUUUAGAAUACUAAAUCUCUUUAUGACUCAAAAACUGAUAUCUCUAAAAUUGCAGGGAGACAUAUCGUUAAAAGGGACAAAAAUAGCCAAACCAUCUCUCCAGUAUUUUUUGGUCGCGAAUCCAUUUUAAAGUUCGAGCUCCUUUUUUCUCUAAAGCCUCAAGUUAAUAUAACGUAGAUUAUUUAAUUAUUAUGUUCCUAUAUAUAAUAGCAAACCCAUUUUUGAGAAACUGCUGACAUCAUCUUUUUAAUCCAACGGAUGAGAUUAUUUUA